rnacentral:rRNA from 1 species
AAUCAACGCUGGCGGCGUGCCUCAGACAUGCAAGUCGAACGCGAAAGUCCCCUUCGGGGGACAAGUAGAGUGGCGCACGGGUGAGUAACACGUGGGUAAUUUACCUUCGGGUGGGGAAGUAACAGUCGGAAACGACUGCUAAUACCGCAUGAUGCAGCGGCACCACAUGGUGACAGUUGUUAAAGCGGGGGAGUCGCAAGACCUCGCGCCUGAAGAGAAGCCCGCGGCAGAUUAGCUAGUUGGUAAGGUAAUGGCUUACCAAGGCAACGAUCUGUAGCCGGCCUGAGAGGGCGGUCGGCCACACUGACACUGAAUAAACGGGUCAGACUCCUACGGGAGGCAGCAGUCGGGAAUUUUGGGCAAUGGGCGCAAGCCUGACCCAGCAACGCCGCGUGAAGGAUAGAAGUA